AUACCCUAUUAUAUUAAGUGUUAAUUUUGCUUACCUGGGUAGUAUUAGUUAAGAUCUUUAAACCCAAAGAAUUUGGCGGUACCUUAUUCCAUUCAGAGGAACCUACCCCGUAAUUGAUAAUACACGAUUAACUUUACUUAAUUUAUUUGUUUGUAUAUCUCCGUUAUCAGAAAAUCUUAUUGGAGUUAUAAUUUUCUUGAUUUAUAAUUAUGAAAUAUUUCAGGUCAAGGUGCAGCUUAUAAUUAAGAGGAGGUGGGUUACAAUAGAUUUUUGUUUAUAACGGAUUUAAUAGUGAAAUACUAUUAAUGAAGGUGGAUUUGAUAGUAAUUUAAUUUAGUUAAUUUAAUUGAUAUUGGCUCUGAGGUGUGUACACAUCGCCCGUCGCUCUCA
rnacentral:rRNA from 1 species